AUCCAGCUGACGAGUUACAAAUAGGACGAAACGUGCGUCAAACUGGAU
rnacentral:hammerhead_ribozyme from 1 species